AGCAUACAAGGCAUACGGCUCAGUAACGCGUAGUCAACCUAACCUAUGGACGGGAAUAACCUCGGGAAACUGAGAAUAAUGCCCGAUAGAACAUUAUGCCUGGAAUGGUUUAUGUUCCAAAUGAUUUAUCGCCGUAGGAUGGGACUGCGGCCUAUCAGUUUGUUGGUGAGGUAAUGGCCCACCAAGACUAUUACAGGUACGGGCUCUGAGAGGAGUAGCCCGGAGAUGGGUACUGAGACACGGACCCAGGCCCUAUGGGGCGCAGCAGGCGAGAAAACUUUGCAAUGUGCGAAAGCACGACAAGGUUAAUCCGAGUGGUUUCUGCUAAAGAAACCUUUUGUCAGUCCUAGAAACACUGAUGAAUAAGGGGUGGGCAAGUUCUGGUGUCAGCCGCCGCGGUAAAACCAGCACCUCAAGUGGUCAGGAUGAUUAUUGGGCCUAAAGCAUCCGUAGCCGGCUCUGUAAGUUUUCGGUUAAAUCUGUACGCUCAACGUACAGGCUGCCGGGAAUACUGCAGAGCUAGGGAGUGGGAGAGGUAGACGGUACUCGGUAGGAAGGGGUAAAAUCCUUUGAUCUGUUGAUGACCACCUGUGGCGAAGGCGGUCUACCAGAACACGUCCGACGGUGAGGGAUAAAAGCUGGGGGAGCAAACCGGAUUAGAUACCCGGGUAGUCCCAGCUGUAAACUAUGCAAACUCAGUGAUGCAUUGGCUUGUGGCCAAUGCAGUGCUGCAGGGAAGCCGUUAAGUUUGCCGCCUGGGAAGUACGUACGCAAGUAUGAAACUUAAAGGAAUUGGCGGGGGAGCACCACAAGGGGUGAAGCCUGCGGUUCAAUUGGAGUCAACGCCGGA
rnacentral:rRNA from 1 species